rnacentral:misc_RNA from 1 species
UCCCCGCUUUACGGGGCAGUCUCGCCAGAGAAUGCAACUGGCGACAGGGGUUGCGCUCGUUGCGGGACUUAACCCAACACCUCACGACACGAGCUGACGACAGCCAUGCACCACCUGUAUACCGACCACAAGGGGGGCCGUAUCUCUACGGCUUUCCGGUAUAUGUCAAACCCAGGUAAGGUUCUUCGCGUUGCAUCGAAUUAAAGAACAUGCUCCGCUGCUUGUGCGGGCCCCCGUCAAUUCUUUUGAGUUUUAGCCUUGCGGCCGUACUCCCCAGGCGGAACACUUAUCGCGUUAGCUGCGGCACGGAGGGAUUCGACUCCCCCCACACCUAGUCCGCACCGUUUACGGCCAGGACUAC